rnacentral:rRNA from 1 species
GGUGAACGCUGGCGGCGUGCUUAGACAUGCAAGUCGAACGGCAGUCUUCGGACUGUAGUGGCGCACGGGUGAGUAACGCGUAACUGACCUACCCCAAAGUCGCGGAUAACGAUUCGAAAGAAUCGCUAAUACGUGAUGUGCUGUCAGAUUGUGUUCUGCCAGUAAAGAUUGAUUGCUUUGGGAUGGGGUUGCGUUCCAUCAGCUAGUUGGUGGGGUAAAGGCCCACCAAGGCGACGACGGAUAGCCGGCCUGAGAGGGUGGCCGGCCACAGGGGCACUGGGACACGGGUCCCACUCCUACGGGAGGCAGCAGUUAGGAAUCUUCCACAAUGGGCGAAAGCCUGUUGGAGCGACGCCGCGUGAGGGAUGAAGGUCUUCGGAUCGUAAACCUCUGAAUCAGGGACGAAAGACACUUCGGUGGGAUGACGGUACCUGAGUAAUAGCACCGGCUAACUCCGUGCCAGCCGCCGCGGUAACAC